GAUUAAUUGAUUGCUAUAAAAAGUUAGAUGAAAUAAAAUGUUCUCCUUGCUCUUCAAACUAAGAUAAGCUAAUAACUUUGGACACAAUUUCACUCCUCUGCAUUCACCAAAUGUCCAAUUACAUAUCCUCCCUGCCUGGACCUUCAGAACAAUAUAAAACUGAAUGAAGGCUAUGAAAGAAGUCACAGGAGGAUUUUUGCAGAGCUUCCAUCCAGUUCAGAAACAAAGCAAUUCAAUACAUGUCUUCAAGAUUUCUAAAGGCAAUGACUUAGUCAUGAAAUCUGAUGUAAUUACAAGCAAAAAAUACAUCUGGUAUUUACUAGGUUAGAAAGCAUGAAAAUGUGUGUAACAAGAUUAGAAAAAGGUUACUUCUCCAAGAAAGGAAAAAACAAAAGAAAGAAAUGCUGUGGGAUUGUAUUGGACUCCUGACAAUGGCACCAACUUCACAAUGUGAUAUUAAUAGAUUUUGAAGGAUGGGGUGAGAGUGCCGAAGAUAUGACA
rnacentral:lncRNA from 1 species